UUCGAAAAAGGAGGAUUAAUACUUUAUAACAGAUUUAAUGGCAUCAUUAGAUUUUGAAAGAUUUAUCGCAGUAGGAUAGGCAUGCGUAAGAUUAGUUAGUUGGUGAGGUAACGGCUCACCAAGACGAUGAUCUUUAGGGGGCCUGAGAGGGUGAACCCCCACACUGGUACUGAGACACGGACCAGACUCCUACGGGAGGCAGCAGUGAGGAAUAUUGGACAAUGGGUGGAAGCCUGAUCCAGCCAUCCCGCGUGUAGGAUGACUGCCUUAUGGGUUGUAAACUACUUUUAUCUGGGGAUAAACCUACUCACGUGUGAGUAGCUGAAGGUACCAGAAGAAUAAGCACCGGCUAACUCCGUGC
rnacentral:rRNA from 1 species